CGUCACAAUAGAUCUAUACAUUUUCUUCAAUUUGUCCAAAAUGCAAUGAGUCCGAAAACAUCCAUCUACAGGUUCGGACUUGCCCUUGUUUCAGCGGUAAUAAAUUGAAUAGAGUCACCAGCCAUGCUUGCAGUUAGACAAUGCCUGCACUGGUAGUAGAGGGAUUGUGGGGCUUCUUUUUUGUAGUUGUUGUGG